UGGCGCUGAGCUGCUGUGGAAAGGUGUGCAAAUACGUGUGGUGAGGGUCUGCGUGGAUCCUGAGGCUGCCGAGUGCUUAGCCAGGCCCUGCUCUGGCUGCAAAGGGCUGGCCUCAGCUCUGUUUCACCAUUCUGGUGAGGUGCUGUGGAGACUCUGCCAGGCUGAUAUGGAGGGGGCCCUAGCCCCAGAGAAUCAUCUCACGCACCAGCGCACGGCGUCUGAAGACAACCUGUAGGAGUCGGUUCUCUCCCUCCACCAUGUGGGCUCCUGGAAUCAAGCUCUUCAGGCUUGGCAGCAGGCACCGUGCUUUGGGCUAAGCUCUGGGCUCUUGUCGGUGCUUGUUGGACCCUGAAGGCAGACACACCAGCCCUGAAUGGCCAAACAGCUUGGUGCCACGAGAGUCACCAGGGAGGUCUGUGCAGGCUGGUGGAAGUGGGCAGACGUG